AUCCUGCAAGGCAGCCAGGCACAGGCGAGAGGAAGGAGUAAUUAAGGAGAAAAAAAAAUCACAAUCAGACGAACAUCUCUGAAGUCUCGACCAUCAGAAUGCCGUAGUGAGGACGCUUUCGGAAGCAUGCCCGGGCUGGGCUGCGGUGCACAGGGUUGGCUCUCUCCCCUGGGCCACCUGGCACAGGGCAGAGUGUUGGUGUCAGGGGGGCAGCGUGACCCCGCUUCCGAGCGGAGCAGCCCCAGCUCCCGGCAGCGAUGGCCGGAGCGAGGUGGAG